rnacentral:rRNA from 1 species
GACGAACCGUGCGAACGUUGUUCGGAAUCACUGGGCUUAAAGGGCGCGUAGGCGGGCUGCCGCGUCCGGGGUGAAAUCCUCCCGCUCAACGGGGGAACGGCCUCGGAUACGGGCGGCCUCGAGGGGGGUAGGGGCAUCUGGAACUGUGGGUGGAGCGGUGAAAUGCGUUGAUAUCCACAGGAACUCCGGUGGCGAAGGCGAGGUGCUGGACCCCAUCUGACGCUGAGGCGCGAAAGCCAGGGGAGCGAACGGG